rnacentral:tRNA from 1 species
GCCUGGCUGGCUUGGUUGGUAGAGUAUGUGAUUCUUAUCUCAAAGUCAUGAGUUCAAGCCCCAUGUUGGGCA